AACGUACGCUGGCGGCACGCCUAACACAUGCAAGUCGAACGAAGUAGCAAUACUUAGUGGCAGACGGGUGAGUAACAUGUGGGUAUCUGCCCUUUGGCCUGGAAUAACACGAGGAAACUUGUGCUAAUACCGGAUAAGUCUUUACGGAGAAAGCUUUAUGCACCAUUGGAUGAGCCCGCACUUGAUUAGUUUGUUGGUGGGGUAAUGGCCUACCAAGACUGUGAUCAAUAGCUGAUUUGAGAGGAUGAUCAGCCACAUUGGGACUGAGACACGGCCCAAACUCCUACGGGAGGCAGCAGUGGGGAAUCCUGCACAAUGGAGGAAACUCUGAUGCAGCGAUGCCGCGUGAGUGAAGAAGGCCCUUGGGUUGUAAAGCUCUUUCGUCGGGGAAGAAAAUGACUGUACCCGAAUAAGAAGGUCCGGCUAACUUCGUGCCAGCAGCCGCGGUAAUACGAAGGGACCUAGCGUAGUUCGGAAUUACUGGGCUUAAAGAGUUCGUAGGUGGUUGAAAAAGUUAGUGGUGAAAUCCCAGAGCUUAACUCUGGAACUGCCAUUAAAACUUUUCAGCUAGAGUAUGAUAGAGGAAAGCAGAAUUUCUAGUGUAGAGGUGAAAUUCGUAGAUAUUAGAAAGAAUACCAAUUGCGAAGGCAGCUUUCUGGAUCAUUACUGACACUGAGGAACGAAAGCAUGGGUAGCGAAGAGGAUUAGAUACCCUCGUAGUCCAUGCCGUAAACGAUGUGUGUUAGACGUUGGAAAUUUAUUUUCAGUGUCGCAGCGAAAGCGAUAAACACACCGCCUGGGGAGUACGACCGCAAGGUUAAAACUCAAAUGAAUUGACGGGGACCCGCACAAGUAGUGGAGCAUGUGGUUUAAUUCGAAGAUACGCGCAGAACCUUACCAACACUUGACAUGUUCGUCGCGACUCUAAGAGAUUAGAGUUUUCGGUUCGGCCGGACGAAACACAGGUGCUGCAUGGCUGUCGUCAGCUCGUGUCGUGAGAUGUUGGGUUAAGUCCCGCAACGAGCGCAACCCUCACUUUUAGUUGCCAUCAUUAAGUUGGGCACUCUGAAAGAACUGCCAGUGAUAAGCUGGAGGAAGGUGGGGAUGACGUCAAGUCCUCAUGGCCCUUACGUGUUGGGCUACACACGUGCUACAAUGGUAUCUACAACAGGAAGCAAGACUGCGAGGUCAAGCAAAUCCUUAAAAGAUACCUCAGUUCGGGUUGCACUCUGCAACUCGAGUGCAUGAAGCUGGAAUUACUAGUAAUCGUGGAUCAGCGUGCCACGGUGAAUGCGUUCCCGGGUCU
rnacentral:rRNA from 1 species